CAGCCGCCGCGGUAAUACGGAGGGUGCAAGCGUUAAUCGGAAUUACUGGGCGUAAAGCGCACGCAGGCGGUUUGUUAAGUCAGAUGUGAAGUCCCCGAGCUUAACUUGGGAACUGCAUUUGAAACUGGCAAGCUAGAGUCUUGUAGAGGGGGGUAGAAUUCCAGGUGUAGCGGUGAAAUGCGUAGAGAUCUGGAGGAAUACCGGUGGCGAAGGCGGCCCCCUGGACAAAGACUGACGCUCAGGUGCGAAAGCGUGGGGAGCAAACAGGAUUAGAUACCCGAGUAGUCCCUGUCUCUUAUAC
rnacentral:rRNA from 1 species